ACUCCUACGGGAGGCAGCAGUGGGGAAUAUUGCACAAUGGGCGCAAGCCUGAUGCAGCCAUGCCGCGUGUAUGAAGAAGGCUUCGGGUUNAAAGUACUUUCAGCAGUGAGGAAGGUGGGUAUGUUAAUACAUACUCAUUUUGACGUUAGCUGCAGAAGAAGCACCGGCUAACUCCGUGCCAGCAGCCGCGGUAAUACGGAGGGUGCGAGCGUUAAUCGGAAUUACUGGGCG
rnacentral:rRNA from 1 species